rnacentral:snRNA from 1 species
GUGCUUGCAUUGGCAGCACAUGUACUAAAAUUGGAAAUAUACAGAGAAGAUUAGCAUGGUCCCUGCGCAAGGAUGACACCCAAAUUUGUGAAGUGUUCCAUAUAUAU